ensembl:snRNA U1 U1 spliceosomal RNA
AUACUUACCUGGCAGGGGAGAUACCGUGAUCACGAAGGUGGUUUUCCCAGGGCGAGGCUUAUGCAUUGCACUUCGGAUGUGCUGACCCCUGCGAUUUCCCCAAAUGUGGGAAACUCGACUGCAUAAUUUGUGGUAGUGGGGGACUGUGUUAGCGCUUUUCCCUG